rnacentral:lncRNA from 1 species
GUCUUAACAUCUGCAAAUGUCAGGAUUUUUUCAUUUGGAAGUAAACGGUCCAUAAACAACAAGUCAACCCAUUGGGUUUAUGGACGAGUCGAGCGUGAACCAACUCAAGCAUGCUAAGUCGAGCGCACUGAAGACAAGUGAAGUGACAAAACAAUGGUACGAUUUAGGAAAUUUUCCCCAAACAGAAGUGGUAACAUUCGGGGAGAAAAUUCCCAGACUUCAUCAUGAGAGAGAGAGAGAGAGGGGUGGAGGAUUGAUGAUGGUUUAUAUGGAAAAUCAAGGUAUUAUUAUUCUAAAUAAAGUUGAGACAAAAAAAGAUAUAUAUGUAAGAGGAAAAAUAGGUGGAUGGGAGAUGAAACUAAUAGUUGUAUAUUUCAGUGUAAAUGACAAGGUGAGAAAUUGAAAAAUUAACUGAUGACAGCACAGACUUCCUAACAAUUGCUGGCAACUCAAUGGACAUGAGGCAUUCAAAGGAGUUGUAGGUAGUCGAAAAGUUAACUUUAAAAAUAUUGACUUGCAACGGAAAUAACAUAGCUUAUUAUACCGUCAGUCAAUUUGGGGAAAAAAUAAUUUUAGGAAAAAGUGGUUGCGCUGAUGCCCAAAACGGUAUGCCAAACCAGUGUUUGUUUGACACUUCAGUUGGUGUGCCCUCGACUUGUCCAGGUAUGAACAAAUUGUCUUCAUAUCAUAAACAUGUGCAAUUAUAUAUAUCCACGAGUUUAUUUUACUUCCUUUAUGAUGACCAUACCCUAUUCUUGCAUUAUGCUUGUAUAGUCAGUCAUGGAAUAGUCACUGAUAAUUGCCAUAGUGCUGGGUAUGAAACAAGUGACAUUGAUAUCCACAUACUGCUUACUAGUGUAGUUUUGCCAAUCAAUGCUGUACAAUAAUUAAUUAUGUUGGAAAUUUGUGAUUAGGAAUACCAUUCAGAAAGUAAAGGAAAAGGAAAGAAAUGUUGAGGCAGUGGAUCAUUUGCACUGUAGCAUGAGAUUUGGAAUGAUUAAUGUAUGGAGUUGUGGUGUGGUGGAAUGGAAGAAAAUAUUUUUCACAUUUUUACGCAAUUUUUUUUAUCGUAGACCAAAUAUUUUUCUCACAUUUUAACACAUUUCUUUUUUUUAUCGUAGACCAUUCUCAAUACUUCAAAUUUUGCCUAAUGUACAAUGAAACUUGAACACUGGACAAAAAAAAAAAAAACUAAGUAAAAUAAGCAUUAUCGAGACUCCAACAAGUCGCAUUUACCGUUUGCACUUAGUGUACUAAGUAACUUUUUAAAAAGUCCUGCAAAUUAUACAGCUUUUGGAGAUGUAUAAGCUUUCAUAGUCAUGCAAUUUAUGUAAUAAGCUUCUCAUUUCAUGACGAUCUAUCUAUUACACUAAUUACGCAGACUCCGUUCGCUUUCAAAGUGUGAAUUUAUCUGCAUGAAGCUUUAGCAGCUUAGUUUUCGGAACUUAAGUUUGUGUAUGCAACUACCUAAGUUUCAUUUACUCCACAACCUUUGAACAGUGUCAGGUGGUAAUUUUCCGCUUAUGGUUUGUAGAAGAUAAAAUACAGGAAAAUAUAAUGGAUCAAGACUUGUACCGGUAUGGUUCGUCUGGUUCCUAAUAGAAGCAAGAAUAAGAUAAAAUGUGUUGGAUCAGAAACUACAGGAAAGUCUGUAGGUUACAGAAAAAAAUACUGAAAAAAGUGAAGUGAAAUAUAUAAGUUGUAAAGAAAGAUGGGGAUAAGCAUAAAACAGUCGUCUAC